UACGUAGGGUGCAAGCGUUGUCCGGAAUUAUUGGGCGUAAAGAGCUCGUAGGCGGUCUGUCGCGUCGGCUGUGAAAUCCCGGAGCUCAACUCCGGGUCUGCAGUCGAUACGGGCAAACUGGAGUACUGCAGGGGAGACUGGAAUUCCUGGUGUAGCGGUGAAAUGCGCAGAUAUCAGGAGGAACACCGAUGGCGAAGGCAGGUCUCUGGGCCGAUACUGACGCUGGAGGAGCGAAAGCGUGGGGAGCGAACAGG
rnacentral:rRNA from 1 species